UGUUUCAGAAUGGGGUGGUCUGGUAAAACAGAUCUGAGAUCAAACCCAAGCACCUGAUCUGGGUAAUGCCAGCGUAGGGAAAACGAAACAACUAACA
rnacentral:ncRNA from 1 species